UGAGGAAUAUUGGUCAAUGGGCGAGAGCCUGAACCAGCCAAGUCGCGUGAGGGAAGACGGUCCGUAUGGAUUAGUCAAACCUCUUUUGCCGGGGAGCAAAGAGCGGCACGUGUGCCGCGCCGAGAGUACCCGGAGAAAAAGCAUCGGCUAACUCCGUGCCAGCAGCCGCGGUAAUACGGAGGAUGCGAGCGUUAUCCGGAUUUAUUGGGUUUAAAGGGUGCGCAGGCGGCGCGUUAAGUCAGCGGUAAAAUUUCGGGGCUUAACCCCGACGAGCCGUUGAAACUGGCGUGCUAGAGUGGGCGAGAAGUAUGCGGAAUGCGUGGUGUAGCGGUGAAAUGCAUAGAUAUCACGCAGAACUCCGAUUGCGAAGGCAGCAUACCGGCGCCCAACUGACGCUCAUGCACGAAAGCGUGGGUAUCGAACAGGAUUAGAUACC
rnacentral:rRNA from 1 species